rnacentral:rRNA from 1 species
GACGAACGCUGGCGGCGUGCUUAACACAUGCAAGUCGAACGGAAAGGCCCUGCUUUUGUGGGGUGCUCGAGUGGCGAACGGGUGAGUAACACGUGAGUAACCUGCCCUUGACUUUGGGAUAACUUCAGGAAACUGGGGCUAAUACCGGAUAGGAGCUCCUGCUGCAUGGUGGGGGUUGGAAAGUUUCGGCGGUUGGGGAUGGACUCGCGGCUUAUCAGCUUGUUGGUGGGGUAGUGGCUUACCAAGGCUUUGACGGGUAGCCGGCCUGAGAGGGUGACCGGCCACAUUGGGACUGAGAUACGGCCCAGACUCCUACGGGAGGCAGCAGUGGGGAAUAUUGCACAAUGGGCGGAGGCCUGAUGCAGCAACGCCGCGGGCGGGAUGACGGCCUUCGGGUUGUAAACCGCUUUCGCCUGUGACGAAGCGUGAGUGACGGUAAUGGGUAAAGAAGCACCGGCUAACUACGUG